rnacentral:rRNA from 1 species
GACGAACGCUGGCGGCGUGCUUAACACAUGCAAGUCGAACGCUGAAGCUUGGUGCUUGCACUGGGUGGAUGAGUGGCGAACGGGCGAGUAAUACGUGAGUAACCUGCCCUUGACUCUGGGAUAAGCCUGGGAAACUGGGUCUAAUACUGGAUACGACAUGCCACUGCAUGGUGGUGUGUGGAAAGGGUUUUACUGGUUUUGGAUGGGCUCACGGCCUAUCAGCUUGUUGGUGGGGUAAUGGCCUACCAAGGCGACGACGGGUAGCCGGCCUGAGAGGGUGACCGGCCACACUGGGACUGAGACACGGCCCAGACUCCUACGGGAGGCAGCAGUGGGGAAUAUUGCACAAUGGGCGGAAGCCUGAUGCAGCGACGCCGCGUGAGGGAUGACGGCCUUCGGGUUGUAAACCUCUUUCAGCACGGAAGAAGCGAGAGUGACGGUACGUGCAGAAGAAGCGCCGGCUAACUACGUG